ACGGCUCAGUAACACGUGGACAACCUGCCCUUAGGUUGGGUAUAAACCCGGGAAACUGGGUAUAAUACCCGAUAGGUCUCGAUUGCUGGAAUGCAUCGAGAUUUAAAGCUCCGGCGCCUAAGGAUGGGUCUGCGGCCUAUCAGGUAGUAGUGGGUGUAGCGUACCUACUAGCCUACGACGGGUACGGGUUGUGUGAGCAAGAGCCCGGAGAUGGAUUCUGAGACACGAAUCCAGGCCCUACGGGGUGCAGCAGGCGCGAAAACUUUACAAUGCUGGCAACAGCGAUAAGGGAACCUCGAGUGCCAGGUUACAAAUCUGGCUGUCGAGAUGCCUAAAAAGCAUUUCAUAGCAAGGGCCGGGCAAGACCGGUGCCAGCCGCCGCGGUAACACCGGCGGCUCGAGUGGUAACCGUUAUUAUUGGGUCUAAAGGGUCUGUAGCCGGCCGGAUAAGUCUCUUGAGAAAUCUGGCAGCUUAACUGUCAGGCUUUCAGGAGAUACUGUCUGGCUCGAGGCCGGGAGAGGUGAGAGGUACUUCAGGGGUAGGGGUGAAAUCUUGUAAUCCUUGAAGGACCACCAGUGGCGAAGGCGUCUCACCAGAACGGACCUGACGGCAAGGGACGAAAGCUAGGGGCACGAACCGGAUUAGAUACCCGGGUAGUCCUAGCCGUAAACGAUACUCGCUAGGUGUCGGCCACGGUGCGACCGUUGUCGGUGCCGUAGGGAAGCCGUGAAGCGAGCCACCUGGGGAAGUACGGCCGCAAGGCUGAAACUUAAAGGAAUUGGCGGGGGAGCAC
rnacentral:rRNA from 1 species